GACGAACGCUGGCGGCGUGCUUAACACAUGCAAGUCGAACGGAAAGGCCCUGCUUUUGUGGGGUGCUCGAGUGGCUAACGGGUGAGUAACACGUGAGUAACCUGCCCUUGACUUUGGGAUAACUUCAGGAAACUGGGGCUAAUACCGGAUAGGAGCUCCUGCUGCAUGGUGGGGGUUGGAAAGUUUCGGCGGUUGGGGAUGGACUCGCGGCUUAUCAGCUUGUUGGUGGGGUAGUGGCUUACCAAGGCUUUGACGGGUAGCCGGCCUGAGAGGGUGACCGGCCACAUUGGGACUGAGAUACGGCCCAGACUCCUACGGGAGGCAGCAGUGGGGAAUAGUGCACAAUGGGCGGAAGCCUGAUGCAGCAACGCCGCGUGCGGGAUGACGGCCUUCGGGUUGUAAACCGCUUUCGCCUGUGACGAAGCGUGAGUGACGGUAAUGGGUAAAGAAGCACCGGCUAACUACGUG
rnacentral:rRNA from 1 species